UGGGGAAUAUUGCACAAUGGGCGCAAGCCUGAUGCAGCCAUGCCGCGUGUAUGAAGAAGGCCUUCGGGUUGUAAAGUACUUUCAGUCGGGAGGAAGGUGGUAAGGUUAAUAACCUUAUCAAUUGACGUUACCGACAGAAGAAGCACCGGCUAACUCCGUGCCAGCAGCCGCGGUAAUACGGAGGGUGCAAGCGUUAAUCGGAAUUACUGGGCGUAAAGCGCACGCAGGCGGUUGAUUGAGUCAGAUGUGAAAUCCCCGGGCUUAACCCGGGAAUUGCAUCUGAUACUGGUCAGCUAGAGUCUUGUAGAGGGGGGUAGAAUUCCAUGUGUAGCGGUGAAAUGCGUAGAGAUGUGGAGGAAUACCGGUGGCGAAGGCGGCCCCCUGGACAAAGACUGACGCUCAGGUGCGAAAGCGUGGGGAGAAAACAGG
rnacentral:rRNA from 1 species